rnacentral:pre_miRNA from 2 species
AGUAGAAUUUCUGGGUUAUAUGGUAAUAAUUCUCUAUUUAAGCUUUUGAGGAACUGCCAAACUGUUUUUCAUGGUAAUUAUACCAUUUUACAUUCCCAUUAGCAAU